rnacentral:rRNA from 1 species
AUUGAACGCUGGCGGCAGGCUUAACACAUGCAAGUCGAGCGAGCGGCGGACGGGUGAGUAAUGUCUGGGAAACUGCCCGAUGGAGGGGGAUAACUACUGGAAACGGUAGCUAAUACCGCAUACCAUCAGAUGUGCCCAUAUGGGAUUAGCUAGUAGGUGGGGUAAUGGCUCACCUAGGCGACGAUCCCUAGCUGGUCUGAGAGGAUGACCAGCCACACUGGAACUGAGACACGGUCCAGACUCCUACGGGAGGCAGCAGUGGGGAAUAUUGGACAAUGGGCGAAAGCCUGAUGCAGCCAUGCCGCGUGUGUGAAGAAGGCCUUCGGGUUGUAAAGUACUUUCAGCGGGGAGGCGUUACCCGCAGAAGAAGCACCGGCUAACUCCGUGCCAGCAGCCGCGGUAAUAC